ensembl:lncRNA
UCUACUGGUCGGGGCCGGUAAGGGACCAGUGGACCCUCUGGGACUCCUCACCCCCUGGUGCUACCGGAACUGAGCCUGAUCUCCCAUCUGAUUAAUGCGGACAGCGACACUUGGCCUUGUCUAUUUCCUAAGUGGUAAAGAACCAGAACUCUGUCUACACCCCGAAAACCCUCUGAUCCCCAUGGCCUCCCUCGGUCCUACAGGCACACAGCUGGACUUACAACGUGAAUAUGUAUUUCUUAAUGUAGGUUGAAGUUUAACCGAAACAAGAAAAAUUCUCUAGAAACCUACCAUUUUUCAGGUCUGGAUUUAACCCUGUCUUUGAAAAUCGUGAGGGAUGAAGCUGCAAAGUCUCAACUG